UACGUAGGGUGCGAGCGUUAAUCGGAAUUACUGGGCGUAAAGCGUGCGCAGGCGGCUUCGCAAGUCAGGCGUGAAAUCCCCCGGGCUUAACCUGGGAAUGGCGUCUGAAACUACGGAGCUGGAGUGUGGCAGAGGGAGGUAGAAUUCCACGUGUAGCGGUGAAAUGCGUAGAUAUGUGGAGGAAUACCGAUGGCGAAGGCAGCCGUCCU
rnacentral:rRNA from 1 species